AGAGUUUGAUCCUGGCUCAGGAUGAACGCUAGCUACAGGCUUAACACAUGCAAGUCGAGGGGCAUCAUGGGGUUUGCUUGCAAACUCUGAUGGCGACCGGCGCACGGGUGAGUAACGCGUAUCCAACCUUCCCUAUACUAGAGAAUAGCCCGGCGAAAGUCGGAUUAAUACUCUAUGUUGUAUUUAGAGGACAUCUGAAGAAUACCAAAGGUUUACCGGUAUAGGAUGGGGAUGCGUCUGAUUAGGUUGUUGGCGGGGUAACGGCCCACCAAGCCGACGAUCAGUAGGGGUUCUGAGAGGAAGGUCCCCCACAUUGGAACCGAGACACGGUCCAAACUCCUACGGGAGGCAGCAGUGAGGAAUAUUGGUCAAUGGGCGAGAGCCUGAACCAGCCAAGUAGCGUGCAGGAUGACGGCCCUAUGGGUUGUAAACUGCUUUUAUGCGGGGAUAAAGUUCACUACGUGUAGUGUUUUGCAGAUACCGCAUGAAUAAGGACCGGCUAAUUCCGUGCCAGCAGCCGCGGUAAUACGGAAGGUCCGGGCGUUAUCCGGAUUUAUUGGGUUUAAAGGGAGCGCAGGCCGGAGGUCAAGCGUGACGUGAAAUGUAGCCGCUCAACGGCUGAACUGCGUCGCGAACUGGCUUUCUUGAGUGAGUUCGAUGUGGGCGGAAUUCGUGGUGUAGCGGUGAAAUGCUUAGGAUAUCACGAARRAMUYCKRAUUUGCGAAGGCAGCCCACAAGGCYUUUUACUGACGYWAAAGCUSGAAAGUGCGGGUAUCGAACAGGAUUAGAUACCCUGGUAGUCCGCACGGUAAACGAUGGAURCCCGCUGUUUGCGAUAUACUGUGAGCGGCCCAAGAGAAAUCGUUAAGCAUCCCACCUGGGGGAGUACGCUGGCAACGGUGAAACUCAAAGGAAUUGACGGGGGCCCGCACAAGCGGAGGAACAUGUGGUUUAAUUCGAUGAUACGCGAGGAACCUUACCCGGGCUUGAACUGCCGGCGAACGAUACAGAGAUGUUGAGGCCCUUCGGGGCGCUGGUGGAGGUGCUGCAUAGUUGUCGUCAGCUCGUGCCGUGAGGUGUCGGCUUAAGUGCCAUAACGAGCGCAACCCCUCUCUUCAGUUGCCAUCACUUCGGGUGGGCACUCUGGAGACACUGCCACCGUAAGGUGUGAGGAAGGUGGGGAUGACGUCAAAUCAGCACGGCCCUUACGUCCGGGGCUACACACGUGUUACAAUGGGUGGUACAGAGCGUCGGCCGCCGGCAACGUCGGUCCAAUCGUGAAAUCCAUCCUCAGUUCGGACUGGGGUCUGCAACCCGACCCCACGAAGCUGGAUUCGCUAGUAAUCGCGCAUCAGCCAUGGCGCGGUGAAUACGUUCCCGGGCCUUGUACACACCGCCCGUCAAGCCAUGAAAGCCGGGGGCGCCUGAAGUCCGUGACCGCGAGGGUCGGCCUAGGGUGAAACCGGUGAUUGGGGCUAAGUCGUAACAAGGUAACCGUA
rnacentral:rRNA from 1 species